rnacentral:rRNA from 1 species
AGCUUGUUGGUGGGGUAAUGGCCUACCAAGGCUUUGACGGGUAGCCGGCCUGAGAGGGUGACCGGCCACACUGGGACUGAGACAUGGCCCAGACUCCUACGGGAGGCAGCAGUGGGAAUAUUGGUCAAUGGGCGGAAGCCUGAACCAGCCAUGCCGCGUGCAGGAAGACGGCCCUACGGGUUGUAAACUGCUUUUAUACGGGAAUAAACCUUGAUACGUGUAUCAAGCUGAAUGUACUGUAAGAAUAAGGAUCGGCUAACUCCGUGCCAGCAGCCGCGGUAAUGCGGAGGAUCCAAGCGUUAUCCGGAUUUAUUGGGUUUAAAGGGUGCGUAGGUGGCCUGGUAAGUCAGGGGUGAAAGACGGUAGCUUAACUAUCGCAGUGCCUUUGAUACUGCCAGGCUUGAAUAAACUAGAGGUAGGCGGAAUGUGACAAGUAGCGGUGAAAUGCAUAGAUAUGUCACAGAACACCGAUUGCGAAGGCAGCUUACUAUGGUUUUAUUGACACUGAGNACGAAAGCGUGGGGAUCAAACAGGAUUAGAUACCCUGGUAGUCCACGCCCUAAACGAUGAAUACUCGAUGUUGGCGAUAUACGGUCAGCGUCUAAGCGGAGCGUUAAGUAUUCCACCUGGGAGUACGCCCGCAAGGUGAA